rnacentral:rRNA from 1 species
UACGAAGGGGCUAGCGUUGCUCGGAAUCACUGGGCGUAAAGGGUGCGUAGGCGGGUCUUUAAGUCAGGGGUGAAAUCCUGGAGCUCAACUCCAGAACUGCCUUGAUACUGAAGAUCUUGAGUUCGGGAGAGGUGAGUGGAACUGCGAGUGUAGAGGUGAAAUUCGUAGAUAUUCGCAAGAACACCAGUGGCGAAGGCGGCUCACUGGCCCGAUACUGACGCUGAGGCACGAAAGCGUGGGGAG